GGGGGUAUAGCUCAGUGGUUCCACCACCUGCCUCGCAAGCACAAGGUCCCGAGUUCGAUCCCUGGUACCCCCC
rnacentral:tRNA from 1 species